rnacentral:rRNA from 1 species
AGGGGUAACAGGAGUAGCUUGCUAUUUGCUGACGACCGGCGCACGGGUGCGUAACGCGUAUAGAAUCUACCUUAUACUGGGGGAUAGCCUUUGGAAACGAAGAUUAAUACCCCAUAGUAUUAUUUUUUGGCAUCAUUAAAUAAUUAAAGUUUCGGCGGUAUAAGAUGACUAUGCGUUCUAUUAGUUAGUUGGUAAGGUAACGGCUUACCAAGACUUCGAUAGAUAGGGGUCCUGAGAGGGAGAUCCCCCACACUGGUACUGAGACACGGACCAGACUCCUACGGGAGGCAGCAGUGAGGAAUAUUGGACAAUGGAGGCAACUCUGAUCCAGCCAUGCCGCGUGUAGGAAGACUGCCCUAUGGGUUGUAAACUACUUUUAUAUGGGAAGAAUAAGGUCUACGUGUAGACUGAUGACGGUACCAUAAGAAUAAGCACCGGCUAACUCCGUGCCAGCAGCCGCGGUAAUACGGAGGGUGCAAGCGUUAUCCGGAAUCAUUGGGUUUAAAGGGUCCGUAGGCGGGCAUAUAAGUCAGUGGUGAAAGUCUGUGGCUUUAACCAUAGAAUUGCCAUUGAUACUGUAUGUCUUGAAUUAUUGUGAAGUGGUUAGAAUAUGUAGUGUAGCGGUGAAAUGCUUAGAGAUUACAUAGAAUACCGAUUGCGAAGGCAGAUCACUAACAAUAUAUUGACGCUGAUGGACGAAAGCGUAGGUAGCGAACAGGAUUAGAUACCCUGGUAGUCUACGCCGUAAACGAUG